AUUGAACGCUGGCGGCAGGCCUAACACAUGCAAGUCGAGCGGAGCGGGGGACGGGUGAGUAAUGGCUAGGAAUCUGCCUGGUCGUGGGGGAUAACGUCCGGUAAUGGGCGCUAAUACCGCAUACUAUCAGAUGAGACUAGGUCGGAUAAGCUAGUUGUUGGGGUAAAGGCCUACCAAGGCGACGACCCGUAUCUGGUCUGAGAGGAUGAUCAGUCACACUGGAACUGAGACACGGCCCAGACUCCUACGGGAGGCAGCAGUGGGGAAUAUUGGACAAUGGGCGAAAGCCUGAUCGAGCCAUGCCGCGUGUGUGAAGAAGGUCUUCGGGUUGUAAAGCACUUUAAGUUGGGAGGCGUUACCACCAGAAGAAGCACCGGCUAACUUCGUGCCAGCAGCCGCGGUAAUAC
rnacentral:rRNA from 1 species